GUGGGGAAUUUUGGACAAUGGGCGCAAGCCUGAUCCAGCAAUGCCGCGUGCAGGAAGAAGGCCUUCGGGUUGUAAACUGCUUUUGUACGGAACGAAAAGGCUCUGGUUAAUACCUGGGGCUCAUGACGGUACCGUAAGAAUAAGCACCGGCUAACUACGUGCCAGCAGCCGCGGUAAUACGUAGGGUGCAAGCGUUAAUCGGAAUUACUGGGCGUAAGCGUGCGCAGGCGGUUUUGUAAGACAGACGUGAAAUCCCCGGGCUCAACCUGGGAAUGGCGUUUGUGACUGCAAAGCUGGAGUGCGGCAGAGGGGGAUGGAAUUCCGCGUGUAGCAGUGAAAUGCGUAGAUAUGCGGAGGAACACCGAUGGCGAAGGCAAUCCCCUGGGCCUGCACUGACGCUCAUGCACGAAAGCGUGGGGAGCAAACAGGAUUAGAUACCCUUGUAGUCC
rnacentral:rRNA from 1 species